GCACUACAACGGGUGGAGCCUGCGGUUUAAUUGGAUUCAACGCCGGAAAUCUCACCGGGACCGACAGCAAUAUGAAGGCCAGGCUGAAGACCUUGCCGGAUUAGCUGAGAGGUGGUGCAUGGCCGUCGUCAGUUCGUACUGUGAAGCAUCCUGUUAAGUCAGGCAACGAGCGAGACCCACGCCCACAGUUGCCAGCGUACUCUCUGGAGUGACGGGUACACUGUGGGGACCGCCGCUGCUAAAGCGGAGGAAGGAAUGGGCAACGGUAGGUCAGUAUGCCCCGAAUAUCCCGGGCUACACGCGGGCUACAAUGGUUGGUACAAUGGGUAUCUACCCCGAAAGGGGAUGGAAAUCUCCUAAAGCUAAUCGUAGUUCGGAUCGAGGGCUGCAACUCGCCCUCGUGAAGCUGGAAUCCGUAGUAAUCGCGUUUCAACAGAACGCGGUGAAUACGUCCCUGCUCCUUGCACACACCGCCCGUCAAACCACCCGAGUGAGGUAUGGGUGAAGGGCACAGACGUCGUGCUGUGUUCGAACCUGAAUUUUGCAAGGGGGGUU
rnacentral:rRNA from 1 species